UACGGGGGGGGCAAGCGUUGUUCGGAAUUACUGGGCGUAAAGGGCGCGUAGGCGGCUGGGCAAGUCAAAGGUGAAAUCCCUCGGCUCAACUGAGGAACUGCCUUUGAAACUGCCUGGCUUGAGGCCGGGAGGGGGUAGCGGAAUUCCCAGUGUAGCGGUGAAAUGCGUAGAUAUUGGGAGGAACACCAGUGGCGAAGGCGGCUACCUGGACCGGUUCUGACGCUGAUGCGCGAAAGCGUGGGUAGCAAACAGG
rnacentral:rRNA from 1 species